UGAGAGUUUGAUCCUGGCUCAGGAUGAACGCUGGCGGUCUGCUUAACACAUGCAAGUCGAACGCAACCUUCGGGUUGAGUGGCGGACGGGUGAGUAACGCGUGAGAAUCUGCCUUGGGGUCGGGGACAACCACUGGAAACGGUGGCUAAUACCGGAUACGCCUUCGGGUAAAAGAUUUAUUGCCCUAAGAGGAGCUCGCGUCUGAUUAGCUAGUUGGUGAGGUAAGAGCUCACCAAGGCAGCGAUCAGUAGCUGGUCUGAGAGGACGAUCAGCCACACUGGGACUGAGACACGGCCCAGACUCCUACGGGAGGCAGCAGUGGGGAAUUUUCCGCAAUGGGCGAAAGCCUGACGGAGCAAGACCGCGUGAGGGAGGAAGGCUCUUGGGUUGUAAACCUCUUUUCUCAGGGAAGAAGCUCUGACGGUACCUGAGGAAUCAGCCUCGGCUAACUCCGUGCCAGCAGCCGCGGUAAUACGGAGGAGGCAAGCGUUAUCCGGAAUUAUUGGGCGUAAAGCGUCCGCAGGUGGCGAUUCAAGUCUGCUGUCAAAGCACGGGGCUUAACUCCGUAAAGGCAGUGGAAACUGAAUAGCUAGAGUGCCGUAGGGGUAGAGGGAAUUCCCGGUGUAGCGGUGAAAUGCGUAGAGAUCGGGAAGAACAUCGGUGGCGAAAGCGCUCUACUGGACGGCAACUGACACUCAGGGACGAAAGCUAGGGGAGCGAAUGGGAUUAGAUACCCCAGUAGUCCUAGCUGUAAACGAUG
rnacentral:rRNA from 1 species